rnacentral:misc_RNA from 1 species
UCGAAAGCCUGGCCCGCGAGCACGGCGGCGCGGUCGAGACCUACCGUGACAUGCGUCUCGUUUCCACGAUCAAUCAGGACGUCAACGGGCGCGGGCAGGGUGGCACCCUGGCCUUCCUCGAGCCAGGUCUCGUCGCCAUUGGCGAUACCGCCACGGUCAAGCGUUCGAUCGAUGCGAAGCUGAGCGCCACCAGCGUCACCAGCAACGACGAGAUCAUGACGCUCGUCAAGCAAACGGAACUGACUCACAACGCCUGGGCCCUCGGCCGCGUCGACGCCCUCACCUCCCACGCCAAUCUCCCAGACCAGAUCGCGAAGCAACUGCCCCCGGUCAGAUGGUUCAUGACUGGUGU